rnacentral:rRNA from 1 species
CGCUAUCAUCCUACGGGAGGCAGCAGUGGGGAAUAUUGCACAAUGGGCGCAAGCCUGAUGCAGCCAUGCCGCGUGUAUGAAGAAGGCCUUCGGGUUGUAAAGUACUUUCAGUCGUGAGGAAGGUUCAUGCGUUAAUAGCGCAUGGAUUUGACGUUAGCGACAGAAGAAGCACCGGCUAACUCCGUGCCAGCAGCCGCGGUAAUACGGAGGGUGCGAGCGUUAAUCGGAAUUACUGGGCGUAAAGCGCAUGCAGGUGGUUAGUUAAGUCAGAUGUGAAAGCCCGGGGCUCAACCUCGGAAUUGCAUUUGAAACUGGCUGACUAGAGUACUGUAGAGGGGGUAGAAUUUCAGGUGUAGCGGUGAAAUGCGUAGAGAUCUGAAGGAAUACCGGUGGCGAAGGCGACCCCCUGGACAGAUACUGACACUCAGAUGCGAAAGCGUGGGGAGCAAACAGGAUUAGAUACCCUGGUAG